rnacentral:pre_miRNA from 1 species
ACAACAUUCGUACCGUCGUUCUACCGAGCAAUAUCACCCGCUCGCUGGAAGAUCUUUCCUCCGUCGU